rnacentral:rRNA from 1 species
UACGUAGGGCGCAAGCGUUGUCCGGAAUUAUUGGGCGUAAAGAGCUCGUAGGUGGCUUGUCACGUCGGGUGUGAAAGCUUGGGGCUUAACUCCAGGUCUGCAUUCGAUACGGGCUGGCUAGAGGUAGGUAGGGGAGAACGGAAUUCCUGGUGUAGCGGUGAAAUGCGCAGAUAUCAGGAGGAACACCGGUGGCGAAGGCGGUCCUCUGGGCCUUACCUGACGCUGAGGAGCGAAAGCGUGGGGAGCGAUCCGG